rnacentral:rRNA from 1 species
AAUAGAUACCCGGGUAGUCCACGCCGUAAACGAUGAGUGCUAAGUGUUAGAGGGUUUCCGCCCUUUAGUGCUGAAGUUAACGCAUUAAGCACUCCGCCUGGGGAGUACGGCCGCAAGGCUGAAACUCAAAGGAAUUGACGGGGGCCCGCACAAGCGGUGGAGCAUGUGGUUUAAUUCGAAGCAACGCGAAGAACCUUACCAGGUCUUGACAUCCUCUGACAACCCUAGAGAUAGGGCUUCCCCUUCGGGGGCAGAGUGACAGGUGGUGCAUGGUUGUCGUCAGCUCGUGUCGUGAGAUGUUGGGUUAAGUCCCGCAACGAGCGCAACCCUUGAUCUUAGUUGCCAUCAUUCAGUUGGGCACUCUAAGGUGACUGGCCGGUGACAAACCGGAGGAAGGUGGGGAUGACGUACAAAUCAUCAUCGCCCCUUAUGACCUGGGCUACACACGUGCUACAAUGGACGGUACAAAGAGUCGCGAGACCGCGAGGUGAGCUAAUCUCAUAAACCGUUCUCAGUUCGGAUUGUAGG